UACAGAGGAUGCAAGCGUUGUUCGGAAUUACUGGGCGUAAAGCGCACGUAGGCGGCUUUGUAAGUUAGAGGUGAAAGCCCGGGGCUCAACUCCGGAAUUGCCUUUAAGACUGCAUCGCUAGAAUUGUGGAGAGGUAAGUGGAAUUCCGAGUGUAGAGGUGAAAUUCGUAGAUAUUCGGAAGAACACCAGUGGCGAAGGCGACUUACUGGACACAUAUUGACGCUGAGGUGCGAAAGCGUGGGGAGCAAACAGG
rnacentral:rRNA from 1 species